GAUGAACGCUGGCGGCGUGCCUAAUACAUGCAAGUCGAGCGAACAGACGAGGAGCUUGCUCCUCUGACGUUAGCGGCGGACGGGUGAGUAACACGUGGAUAACCUACCUAUAAUACUGGGAUAACUUCGGGAAACCGGAGCUAAUACCGGAUAAUAUAUUGAACCGCAUGGGUCAAUAGUGAAAGACGGUUUUGCUGUCACUAAUAGAUGGAUCUGCGCCGCAUUAGCUAGUUGGUAAGGUAACGGCUUACCAAGGCAACGAUGCGUAGCCGACCGGAGAGGGGGAUCGGCCACACUGGAACUGAGCCACGGUCCAGAGUCCUACGGGAGGCAGCAGUAGGGAAUCUUCCGCAAUGGGCGAAAGCUUGACGGAGCAACGCCGCGUGAGUGAUGAAGGUCUUCGGAUCGUAAAACUCUGUUAUUAGGGAAGAACAAAUGUGUAAGUAACUAUGCACGUCUUGACGGUACCUAAUCAGAAAGCCACGGCUAACUACGUG
rnacentral:rRNA from 1 species